rnacentral:rRNA from 1 species
AUUGAACGCUGGCGGCAUGCUUUACACAUGCAAGUCGAACGGUAACAGCACUUCGGUGGCUGACGAGUGGCGAACGGGUGAGUAAUACAUCGGAACGUGCCUAGUAGUGGGGGAUAACUACUCGAAAGAGUAGCUAAUACCGCAUGAGAUCUAAGGAUGAAAGCAGGGGACCUUCGGGCCUUGCGCUACUAGAGCGGCUGAUGGCAGAUUAGGUAGUUGGUGGGAUAAAAGCUUACCAAGCCGACGAUCUGUAGCUGGUCUGAGAGGACGACCAGCCACAGGGGGACGGAAACACGCCCCAGCCUCCGGCGGGGGCGCGCGGGGGGGAUUUUGGGAGAAGGGGCGAAGGCCUUCUCCAGCAAGCGCGCGGGGAGAAGGAAGUCCUUCGGUUUUUAAAGUUUUUUGAUGGGGAAAGAAAACCCUUCUUCUAAAACGGGGGGUCCAGGACGGUACGGUAAAAAAAAGCCCCGCCUAACUACGGG